rnacentral:rRNA from 1 species
GACGAACGCUGGCGGCGUGCUUAACACCUUGCAAGUCGAACGUGAUUUUUGUGGAAAUUCUUUUCGGGAAUGGAAGUGAAAUGAAAGUGGCGAACGGGUGAGUAACACGUGAGCAACCUACCUUACACAGGGGGAUAGCCGUUGGAAACGACGAUUAAUACCGCAUGAGACCACAGAAUCGCAUGAUAUAGGGGUCAAAGAUUUAUCGGUGUAAGAAGGGCUCGCGUCUGAUUAGCUAGUUGGAAGGGUAAAGGCCUACCAAGGCGACGAUCAGUAGCCGGUCUGAGAGGAUGAACGGCCACAUUGGAACUGAGACACGGUCCAAACUCCUACGGGAGGCAGCAGUGGGGAAUAUUGCACAAUGGGGGGAACCCUGAUGCAGCGACGCCGCGUGAGCGAAGAAGGUUUUCGAAUCGUAAAGCUCUGUCCUAUGAGAAGAUAAUGACGGUAUCAUAGGAGGAAGCCCCGGCUAAAUACGUGCCAGCAGCCGCGGUAAUACGUAUGGGGCGAGCGUUGUCCGGAAUUAUUGGGCGUAAAGGGUACGUAGGCGGUUUUUUAAGUCAGGUGUGAAAGCGUGAGGCUUAACCUCAUUAAGCACUUGAAACUGGAAGACUUGAGUGAAGGAGAGGAAAGUGGAAUUCCUAGUGUAGCGGUGAAAUGCGUAGAUAUUAGGAGGAAUACCGGUGGCGAAGGCGACUUUCUGGACUUUUACUGACGCUCAGGUACGAAAGCGUGGGGAGCAAACAGG